GAUGAACGCUGGCGGCGUGCCUAAUACAUGCAAGUCGAGCGAACGGACGAGAAGCUUGCUUUUCUGAUGUUAGCGGCGGACGGGUGAGUAACACGUGGAUAACCUACCUAUAAGACUGGGAUAACUUCGGGAAACCGGAGCUAAUACCGGAUAAUAUUUUGAACCGCAUGGUUCAAAAGUGAAAGACGGUCUUGCUGUCACUUAUAGAUGGAUCCGCGCUGCAUUGGCUAGUUGGUAAGGUAACGGCUUACCAAGGCAACGAUGCAUAGCCGACCUGAGAGGGUGAUCGGCCACACUGAAACUGAGACACGGUCCAGACUCCUACGGGAGGCAGCAGUAGGGAAUCUUCCGCAAUGGGCGAAAGCCUGACGGAGCAACGCCGCGUGAGUGAUGAAGGUCUUCGGAUCGUAAAACUCUGUUAUUAGGGAAGAACAUAUGUGUAAGUAACUGUGCACAUCUUGACGGUACCUAAUCAGAAAGCCACGGCUAACUACGU
rnacentral:rRNA from 1 species